GACGAACGCUGGCGGCGUGCCUAAUACAUGCAAGUUAGCGCUGAAGGUUGGUACUUGUACCAACUGGAUGAGCAGCGAACGGGUGAGUAACGCGUGGGGAAUCUGCCUUUGAGCGGGGGACAACAUUUGGAAACGAAUGCUAAUACCGCAUAAAAACUUUAAACACAAGUUUUAAGUUUGAAAGAUGCAAUUGCAUCACUCAAAGAUGAUCCCGCGUUGUAUUAGCUAGUUGGUGAGGUAAAGGCUCACCAAGGCGAUGAUACAUAGCCGACCUGAGAGGGUGAUCGGCCACAUUGGGACUGAGACACGGCCCAAACUCCUACGGGAGGCAGCAGUAGGGAAUCUUCGGCAAUGGACGAAAGUCUGACCGAGCAACGCCGCGUGAGUGAAGAAGGUUUUCGGAUCGUAAAACUCUGUUGGUAGAGAAGAACGUUGGUGAGAGUGGAAAGCUCAUCAAGUGACGGUAACUACCCAGAAAGGGACGGCUAACUACGUG
rnacentral:rRNA from 1 species